GACGAACGCUGGCGGCGUGCUUAACACAUGCAAGUCGAACGGAAAGGCCCUGCUUUUGUGGGGUGCUCGAGUGGCGAACGGGUGAGUAACACGUGAGUAACCUGCCCUUGACUUUGGGAUAACUUCAGGAAACUGGGGCUAAUACCGGAUAGGAGCUCCUGCUGCAUGGUGGGGGUUGGAAAGUUUCGGCGGUUGGGGAUGGACUCGCGGCUUAUCAGAUUGUUGGUGGGGUAGUGGCUUACCAAGGCUUUGACGGGUAGCCGGCCUGAGAGGGUGACCGGCCCCAUUGGGACUGAGAUACGGCACAGACUCCUACGGGAGGCAGCAGUGGGGAAUAUUGCACAAUGGGCGGAAGCCUGAUGCAGCAACGCCGCGUGCGGGAUGACGGCCUUCGGGUUGUAAACCGCUUUCGCCUGUGACGAAGCGUGAGUGACGGUAAUGGGUAAAGAAGCACCGGCUAACUACGUG
rnacentral:rRNA from 1 species